UAUGUGAUCGUCUCUCGCAUAUCAAUAAGCGGAGGAAAAGAAACUAACAAGGAUUCCCCUAGUAACGGCGAGUGAAGCGGGAAGAGCUCAAAUUUGAAAUCUUAAAGGGUUUCCCUUUACGAAUUGUAGUUUAAAGAAGUGUUUUUCUGUUGAGGUUUUGGUAAAAGUUCUUUGGAAUAGGACAUCAUAGAGGGUGAGAAUCCCGUAUUUGACCUUUACUUUCAACUUUGUGAUACACUUUCAAAGAGUCGGAUUGUUUGGGAAUGCAGUCCAAAAUGGGUAGGUAAAUUUCAUCUAAAGCUAAAUAUUGGCGAGAGACCGAUAGCGAACAAGUACCGUGAGGGAAAGAUGAAAAGAACUUUGAAAAGAGAGUUAAACAGUACGUGAAAUUGUCAAAAGGGAAGCGUUUGACACCAGUGUUGUUUUUCUGAAAAUCAAUUAAAGAACUGUUUAUGCUAAGCUGUUUAGACUUUAUCAGCUAUCUGUUUAGUUUUGAGCUUUUCUUUAAUGCACUUUUCAGUUAACAAGUCAACAUCAAUUUCUUUUGCUGUAAAAAAGCUUGAGGAAGGUGGCUUGAGAUUCGUCUUAAGUGUUUAUAGCCUCUUGCCUAUGCAGUCGGAGAGAUUGAGGUCUGCAGCGUAGAUCCUUCGGGGCUAAAUGCAUUUGUGCUAAGUUAUAGCAUUUUAUAGACAACUUGUUGACUAUGAUUUGCCUUGUAGCUUACUCGCUUAUGUUAUUUUACCUACGCUUAGGAUGUUGACGAGACUGUCGAUCUC
rnacentral:rRNA from 1 species